ACGCAGAGUCUGCGCAAUAGUCAUAGUGAAGUUCUAGAUGCCCAGGGCUCUUUCCAGCAUCCGAGGGCAAGGCUGGCGCGGUGUUUUUUGGCAGGUGCCCACCUACCUAACGGACUACCUAACGGGCCACGAUUCUGAAAGGGACCCAGUUCACGAUUUGGGGUUGCGGUUAAACAAGAUGAAAAAGAAGAAAAAAAAUCACUCGGAGCUUUGUAACGAGACUAGGGACUGCCUUCCCUGCAGCUGUACAGAGUGUUAACCUAUCCAUAAAGUGGGUGUCUACAUACACGAAGCUUUGCUGUGCAAGUGGCAUGUGAAGACAGACUUUGAUGGCACAGGAGUAAAUCUCCUUGACUAGCCGGAGAGCUGACUAACUUCUCUGUCCCUACAUCUUCUGUCCCUUUGGGGUUUUAAGUUUUCAAAUUGAAAUUAAAAUUCCAUCU